GGAUGAACGCUGGCGGCGUGCUUAACACAUGCAAGUCGAACGGACUUUUUAUUGAAGCCUAGCGAUAUAAAAGUUAGUGGCGGACGGGUGAGUAACGCGUGAAUAACCUGCCUUAUACUGGGGGACAACAGUUGGAAACGACUGCUAAUACCGCAUAAGCGCACGGUUCCACAUGGAACAGUGUGAAAAACUCCGGUGGUAUAAGAUGGAUUCGCGUCUGAUUAGAUAGUUGGUGAGGUAACGGCUCACCAAGUCGACGAUCAGUAGCCGGCCUGAGAGGAUGAACGGCCACAUUGGGACUGAGAUACGGCCCAGACUCCUACGGGAGGCAGCAGUGGGGAAUAUUGGGCAAUGGGGGAAACCCUGACCCAGCAACGCCGCGUGAAGGAAGAAGGCCUUCGGGUUGUAAACUUCUUUUAGCAGGGACGAAGAACGUGACGGUACCUGCAGAAAAAGCAACGGCUAACUACGUG
rnacentral:rRNA from 1 species